AUUCCGUGAUAAGGGUACUUCCGUAAUAAUUCUUUGUACCUUUCCUAUGCGUCAUACAAGGACUCAUCAUCCAUUUGUUAGAAGGCAGUGAUCUCAUUCAUCAACUU
rfam:Gossypium hirsutum cultivar TM-1 unplaced genomic scaffold scaffold457.1, whole genome shotgun sequence